UCCGCUUCCAGCCAAUCACGUGCGAGGGGGUGAAAGGGAACGUUCCAUCCGCUCCUGCGACUCGGGAGGUGACACUGCGAGUCCUCGCUGCUGCACGCUCUGAUGCUGCUUGUGACACGGCUACACUUGAGCCACAGCUUUCUCGGCAGACAGGAUGGCCUGUCGUCUCCCACGGUCGAUUGCAAAUACGAUUCUCAGAAGUGGAACUGGAUCAUCUAUGCGGUUUUCAUCUGAUGUCUCCUCUGUGACUGUCUCACUACUACUGCGUGGGUGGUUGUUUCAUAGUUUCUAGGGUCCAAAGAGACCUGAACAGAUGAUCAAGUCCGAUCCCCUGCCCCGGGCAGGAACCAGUGCUGGGAUCAUAACACCCAGCCAGAUAUCCAUCCAAGGUUGUUAACCCGUUACAAGUAUUUUUUCAAUACAGCUGCAUCUGUUUUAAUUGCA